AUACGAGGGGCCCAAGCGUUAUUCGGAAUCACUGGGCUUAAAGGGAACGUAGGCUGGCUUGUAAGUAUCUCGUGAAAUCCCUCGGCUCAACCGAGGAACUGCGGGGUAAACUACAAGCCUUGAGAUGGGUAGAGGUCAUCGGAACGAUCGGUGGAGCGGUGAAAUGCGUAGAUAUCGAUCGGAACGCCAAAGGUGAAGACAGGUGACUGGGCCCAAUCUGGCGCUGAGGUUCGAAAGCGUGGGGAGCAAACAGGAUUAGAAACCCUAGUAGUCC
rnacentral:rRNA from 1 species